rnacentral:rRNA from 1 species
AGAUUGAACGCUGGCGGCAUGCCUUACACAUGCAAGUCGAACGGCAGCAUGGGAGCUUGCUCCUGAUGGCGAGUGGCGAACGGGUGAGUAACAUAUCGGAACGUACCUUGUAAUGGGGGAUAACUCAGCGAAAGCUGGGCUAAUACCGCAUACGCCCUGAGGGGGAAAGUGGGGGAUCGCAAGACCUCAUGUUAUAAGAGCGGCCGAUAUCUGAUUAGCUAGUUGGCGGGUAAAGGCCCACCAAGGCAUCGAUCAGUAGCUGGUCUGAGAGGACGACCAGCCACACUGGAACUGAGACACGGUCCAGACUCCUACGGGAGGCAGCAGUGGGAAUUUUGGACAAGUGGGGCAACCGUGAUCCAGCAAGUGCCGCGUGACGUGAAGAAGGCCGUUCGGUUAGUUAAG